rnacentral:rRNA from 1 species
AUUGAACGCUGGCGGCAGGCCUAACACAUGCAAGUCGAACGAGUGGCGGACGGGUGAGUAAUGUCUGGGAAACUGCCUGAUGGAGGGGGAUAACUACUGGAAACGGUGGCUAAUACCGCAUACCAUCAGAUUUGCCCAGAUGGGAUUAGCUAGUUGGUGGGGUAACGGCUCACCAAGGCGACGAUCCAUAGCUGGUCUGAGAGGAUGACCAGCCACACUGGGACUGAGACACGGUCCAGACUCCUACGGGAGGCAGCAGUGGGGAAUAUUGGACAAUGGGCGAAAGCCUGAUGCAGCCAUGCCGCGUGUAUGAAGAAGGCCUUCGGGUUGUAAAGUACUUUCAGCGGGGAGGCGUUACCCGCAGAAGAAGCACCGGCUAACUCCGUGCCAGCAGCCGCGGUAAUUC